CACAUCAUCCUAACCGCACAUCUC
rnacentral:miRNA from 1 species